CCCAGGACUUGCGUCCUGGGCUAUUAUCCGCCGCCCCUGCGGGGCU
rfam:Acidobacteria bacterium RIFCSPLOWO2_12_FTLL_60_22 rifcsplowo2_12_scaffold_27974, whole genome shotgun sequence.